rnacentral:rRNA from 1 species
UACAGAGGGGGCAAGCGUUGUUCGGAAUUACUGGGCGUAAAGGGCGCGUAGGCGGCCCGCUAAGUCGAACGUGAAAAUCCCCGAGCUCAACUCGGGAACUGCGUCCGAUACUGGCGGGCUUGAAUCCGGGAGAGGGAUGCGGGAAUUCCCAGGUGUAGCGGUGAAAUGCGUAGAUAUCUGGAGGGAACACCGGUGGCGAAGGCGGCAUCCUGGACCGGCAUUGGCGCUGAGGCGCGAAAGCUAGGGGAGCAACGGG